GCUUGCACCUUUCAAGCGAGUGGCGAACGGGUGAGUAACACGUGGAUAACCUGCCUCAAGGCUGGGGAUAACAUUUGGAAACAGAUGCUAAUACCGAAUAAAACUUAGUAUCGCAUGAUACAAAGUUGAAAGGCGCUACGGCGUCACCUAGAGAUGGGUCCGCGGUGCAUUAGUUAGUUGGUGGGGUAAAGGCCUACCAAGACAAUGAUGCAUAGCCGAGUUGAGAGACUGAUCGGCCACAUUGGGACUGAGACACGGCCCAAACUCCUACGGGAGGCUGCAGUAGGGAAUCUUCCACAAUGGGCGAAAGCCUGAUGGAGCAACGCCGCGUGUGUGAUGAAGGCUUUAGGGUCGUAAAGCACUGUUGUAUGGGAAGAAAUGCUAGAAUAGGGAAUGAUUCUAGUUCGACGGUACCAUACCAGAAAGGGACGGCUAAAUACGUGCCAGCAGCCGCGGUAAUACGUAUGUCCCGAGCGUUAUCCGGAUUUAUUGGGCGUAAAGCGAGCGCAGACGGUUGAUUAAGUCUGAUGUGAAAGCCCGGAGCUCAACUCCGGAAUGGCAUUGGAAACUGGUUAACUUGAGUGUUGUAGAGGUAAGUGGAACUUCUUGGGGAU
rnacentral:rRNA from 1 species